rnacentral:tRNA from 1 species
GGAGUUUUAGCUCAGUUGGUUAGAGCGCAAGAUUGUCAAUCUUGAGGUCAUGGGUUCAAUUCCCAUAAAUUCCG